rnacentral:rRNA from 1 species
GAUGAACGCUGGCGGCGUGCCUAAUACAUGCAAGUCGAGCGAACAGAUGAGGAGCUUGCUCCUCUGACGUUAGCGGCGGACGGGUGAGUAACACGUGGAUAACCUACCUAUAAGACUGGGAUAACUUCGGGAAACCGGAGCUAAUACCGGAUAAUAUAUUGAACCGCAUGGUUCAAUAGUGAAAGACGGUUUUGCUGUCACUUAUAGAUGGAUCCGCGCCGCAUUAGCUAGUUGGUAAGGUAACGGCUUACCAAGGCAACGAUGCGUAGCCGACCUGAGAGGGUGAUCGGCCACACUGGAACUGAGACACGGUCCAGACUCCUACGGGAGGCAGCAGUAGGGAAUCUUCCGCAAUGGGCGAAAGCCUGACGGAGCAACGCCGCGUGAGUGAUGAAGGUCUUCCGAUCGUAAAACUCUGUUAUUAGGGAAGAACAAAUGUGUAAGUAACUAUGCACGUCUUGACGGUACCUAAUCAGAAAGCCACGGCUAACUACGUG